UUAAGAAGUUAAGAUGUCGUUAUCCUCAUGACCACAUCAGCGUAGCUUUGCGUGUCAAUGCCACUCUCUCCACCCAUAAGAUCGUAAGUUUUAAAAAUUAAUUUCUCCAACCGUCUUUUUCCUCUAUUUUCCAGCCAUGGCAAUCCCUAAAAAUCAAGAUGAGGUUGAGCAAAAUGCAAGGAGUUCAUAUUUUAAUUUACCGCCGUUGGAUGUUUCCGUCGCCUUCCCUCAAGCAACUCCCGCUUCCACAUUUCCUCCUAGCGUGUCGGAUUACUUUCAAUUUAGUGAUUUAUUAACCGCGGAGGAUCAGGCCAUCAGGAUGAGAGUGAGGCAGUGCAUGGAAAAGGAAAUCGCUCCGAUAAUGGCUGAGUACUGGGAGAAGGCGAAGUUUCCGUUUCAUGUUAUUCCGAAGCUUGGUGCCUUGGGUAUAGCUGGAGGAACGAUAAAGGGUUAUGGGUGUCCUGGUCUCUCGAUCACUACAAGUGCUGUCGCCAUUGCAGAAGUUGCUAGAGUUGAUGCAAGCUGUUCGACUUUUAUUUUGGUGCAUUCAUCUCUGGCAAUGCUCACCAUAGCACUUUGUGGUUCUGAGGAACAGAAGCAGAAAUAUUUACCUUCUUUGGCAAAGUUUAGCACUGUAGCUUGUUGGGCUUUGACUGAGCCUGACUAUGGAAGUGAUGCAAGUUCUCUGCAAACAACAGCAACCAAGGUUGAAGGUGGUUGGAUACUUGAGGGCCAAAAACGCUGGAUAGGAAACAGUACUUUUGCUGAUUUGCUUGUUAUAUUUGCUCGGAAUACCUCCACUGAUCAGAUUAAUGGAUAUAUAGUGAAGAAGGAUGCUCCUGGAUUAACAGUUACAAAAAUUGAAAAUAAAAUUGGCCUCCGUAUAGUACAAAAUGGAGAUAUAGUCAUGAAAAGAGUUUUUGUUCCUGAUGAGGACAGGUUGCCUGGAGUCAACUCGUUUCAAGAUACAAAUAAGGUUCUUGCUGUUUCACGUGUAAUGGUUGCCUGGCAACCUAUUGGCAUAUCAAUGGGGGUCUAUGACAUGUGUCACAGGUAUCUAAAGGAAAGGAAACAAUUUGGAGCCCCAUUGGCAGCCUUUCAAAUCAAUCAACAGAAACUUGUCCACAUACUUGGUAAUGUCCAAGCAAUGGUACUAGUUGGUUGGCGCCUUUGCAAGUUGUAUGAAAAGGGAACAAUGACCCCAGGUCAUGCCAGCUUGGCAAAGUCAUGGAUCAGUUUGAAGGCAAGGGAAACUGCUGCUAUUGGGAGGGAGUUACUUGGUGGCAAUGGAAUUUUGUCCGAUUUUCUUGUUGCCAAGGCAAUGGGUGAUUUAGAACCCAUCUACACAUAUGAAGGCACAUAUGACAUCAACAGCUUGGUAACAGGCAGAGAAAUCACUGGUCUUGCCAGUUUUAAGCCUGCAAUGUCGAGCAAGCGAAGUCGCCUGUAACAGCAUAAACUUUCCCAUGACAUCCACGUGUGUGCUCUUUCUUUUCUGCAAGUUGGGAAAUUACUUGACAAUCUCAUAAGGGAAGAUUCUUAGAUGCAUUAUUUAUAACUGCUAUUAUGUAUUUAUUGUAAGUCAAAAUAAGGUUGAUGAACAUAAAUGUUUAGUUUAUUAUAACAAAUUUAGUAUAUAAGCAUGCAUUUUUAUA